GAUGAACGCUGGCGGUAUGCUUAACACAUGCAAGUCGAACGGACACUUUCGGGUGUUAGUGGCGGACGGGUGAGUAACGCGUGAGAAUCUGCCUUUAGGUUCGGGACAACCAUUGGAAACGAUGGCUAAUACCGGAUAUGCAGGAAUGUGAAAGAUAUAUUGCCUAAAGAUGAGCUCGCGUCUGAUUAGCUAGUUGGUGGGGUAAAGGCCUACCAAGGCGACGAUCAGUAACUGGUCUGAGAGGAUGAUCAGUCACACUGGAACUGAGACACGGUCCAGACUCCUACGGGAGGCAGCAGUGGGGAAUUUUCCGCAAUGGGCGAAAGCCUGACGGAGCAAUACCGCGUGAGGGAGGAAGGCUCUUGGGUUGUAAACCUCUUUUCUUAGGGAAGAACAAAAUGACGGUACCUAAGGAAUAAGCAUCGGCUAACUCCGUGCCAGCAGCCGCGGUAAUACGGAGGAUGCAAGCGUUAUCCGGAAUGAUUGGGCGUAAAGCGUCCGCAGGUGGUUUUGUAAGUCUAUUGUUAAAGCGUCUGGCUCAACCAGAUAAUGGCGGUAGAAACUACAAGACUAGAGUCCGUUCGGGGCAGAGGGAAUUCCUGGUGUAGCGGUGAAAUGCGUAUAGAUCAGGAACAACACCGGUGGGCGAAAGCGCUCUGCUAGGCCGGAACUGACACUGAGGGACGAAAGCUAGGGGAGCGAAUGGGAUUAGAUACCCCCAGUAGUCCUAGCCGUAAACGAUGGAUACUAAGGC
rnacentral:rRNA from 1 species